rnacentral:rRNA from 1 species
CAGUAGGGAAUCUUCCACAAUGGGCGAAAGCCUGAUGGAGCAACGCCGCGUGUGUGAUGAAGGGUUCCGGCUCGUAAAACACUGUUGUAAGAGAAGAAUGACAUUGAGAGUAACUGUUCAAUGUGUGACGGUAUCUUACCAGAAAGGAACGGCUAAAUACGUGCCAG